rnacentral:rRNA from 1 species
CAGCAGCCGCGGGAAUACGGAGGGAGCUAGCGUUGUUCGGAAUUACUGGGCGUAAAGCGCACGUAGGCGGUUAUUCAAGUCAGAGGUGAAAGCCCGGGGCUCAACCCCGGAACUGCCUUUGAAACUAGAUGACUGGAAUCUUGGAGAGGUCAGUGGAAUUCCGAGUGUAGAGGUGAAAUUCGUAGAUAUUCGGAAGAACACCAGUGGCGAAGGCGACUGACUGGACAAGUAUUGACGCUGAGGUGCGAAAGCGUGGGGAGCAAACAGGAUUAGAUACCCCCGUAGUCCCUGUCUCUUAUAC